rnacentral:lncRNA from 1 species
GCGCAGGCGGCGGCGGCGGUGGCGGCCGUGGUUGGAGUCCUGCGCCCGGCGCCCGCUGGCCGCCGGAACGCGACCGCCUGAGCUGAGCGGCGGCCGGCCGCGGUGGUGCUCGCGGGAGAGAGUUCUGAUGUGUUUUGCUGGAAGUUCAGAAGCUCAGACACAGCCUGUGUGGUGAAAGCCUCUGAGCAUGAGAAAGAUGUGUAGGAAAGAGUUAAAAAGUACUGAGUGCUCAGCUGUCCUGCAAUGGCCUUCAUGAGGAAAGAAUGUAACAAACAGAAAUCUUCAGUGAAGUGAUAAAAUUCCUUCAUGUUUGACCCAGUGCCCUUGAAAAUACUAGAAUCAGAAAGUUUUAUGUACGGAAAUAUCAAAAUCUCCUUGAGCAAACUGAAAAACACAGACACGCUUAAUGCUUUAUCAGUGCUGUCGAUAGAAAACGAACUAGUAAAUUUCCUCCCAGACCUUUAGCACCACAGCCACUGGGGAUUUUUGCAAGGCUGAAGAGAAGAACUGUUGGAACCAGCCUGAGACCAAUGGCAGUCUAUGCAAGACUACUCCAUAAGAAACAAAAAUUUGUUCAAAAGACUGAAUAUUGAGCUUACAUGCAGUUAACAGGAAAUGCUUUUAACUGUAUUGGGGCAGUAUCUGGUAAUGUUUGUAUAGGGAAAAACAUAAAGAUUUAUAAUGUUUCUGUUCUUAGAAUUUCUAUCUUCGCUAAGCUAUAGAAGCAGUUGCUUCUGUUUGACAGCUCUGACUCCCUCCGUGUUGUUUUUGGUUCAGUCCACCCCUUUGGAAUAAAUAAAAUGUAUGAGCUAUUAAGUGGA